ensembl:lncRNA
CUCACGAUUAGUAAAAAAAUUCUUUGGAUCCAAGAUCUAAUGCACACAAUGGGGAGAUUAAAAAAAAAUCAUCCAUCCAUUUUCCAUAACGCUUCUCCUACUCACGGAUGCAGGGGAGCCUGGGGCCUAAGCCCCCAACCCCGGAGGUAUGAGGCAACCAUUCUAACCCCUAAUCCACCAUGCCCCCCAUGUCUCUCGGCAAUGAUUAUGAUUAUGUUAAUGAUUAUUUUAUUGCAUGUUAUACUUUUAUCCAUUCAUAGUUACAUUUAGUGUUGUGGCAUGUCUGUGAAAGCUAGUUCCUGUUCCAGAGGCUAAAACAUAGCAUGUGUCAACAAGUAUCGCUUUAUGUGGCCACCCAACACUAGCUCUUGGCUGCUCCAGUCAAAAUGUUGUGGACAAUUUCUUGUGAAAAGGGCCCAUUGGCACAGCUCCGUGGCAUUUCAUUUGACACUGAUGUUUUUGGGGUGAUGACAUAAAAGCUGGGCAAGAGAACCAAAUCAAUAAUACUUGACUAAUAUACAAAUAUACCAAAGUACUACUUAUAUAUAGUAAUGAAUUAUUCAAGUGUUUUCCUUCCAUGAUGUACAACUGUAGUGAUCAAACUUGACAUUAAAUAUGGACAUAAACGUGUAUUUAGCAGCUAAAUCCACAACUGACCCAAAAUAGACGGUAUCUUUUUUACGGGCUAGUCUACUAAUGAACAGCCAUUUCCGGUCAGUUAAUGCUCAGUAGGCUUUUUUUUUAAAUGAAUGCGGCAAAACCACUGCAGUGACAGUUUUCACACGUACACCAGACAAAUUCCUCUGAAUACAGUAUAUCUUAUUCUUUAAAACUGUUUUAUUACACUGAUCUUCUAAAUUCACCCGUUAACUGAUGUCAGACUUAGAAAGUGGUUCAACAAGGACUCUGGAUAGUGUGAACAUCAACAGAGAGGAUCACAACCAAUCAGAGCAGAGUGUGUGUGAAGUUCUGGGUAAAGGUAUCCAGUAAUGUGAGGUCGUCUCCCCAGGCACACUAAAGGGCUGCUAGAUUUACGCUCGCUUAAUUAUGAAUGAGUGAGGCAUGAGAGAAGCGAAGCAGAUCUCGUUAAAUCUGUCCUCUCGGCCUGCUACAGUGACUAAACUCACGCACUUUAUACGAUACAUUUUCCCUGAGAAGAGCGGGAAAGUGGGCGUGGCUUUGACCUCCGACGUUUAUGUAGCUCUGCUCAUACGAGUGAGUCUAGAAUGUCGUGCACAAAAGCAAAACGCGCGUUCAUACAAGCCGGUGAAUCAGAUUACGUCUGAAAAUCUCACUCUGCAUGUGUGUGUGUGUGUGUGUGUGUGUGUGUGUGGGAGGUCCUUAAUAUCAAGAAGCACCUAAAGUCUGCAUCGACAGAUCCAUUUCAGUUUAACGCACUGCAGAUGUGUGGGUGUGGGGUUGUGCUUUUUUGGCUGUUCUUUUAUCAACAAACUCCAGAGUCCACCAGUUUCCCAGGAAUCUCGAGAAUUUAGGUCUAAAGAUGUGUCCCGGUAUAUUUCCAGCAAAGAACAGAGCCUGGGAAAACCACCAAUUGACUCACACUGAGAGAAAGAAAAGAGUCAGUUCUGUGUGAAGUCUGGCUUCUAAUAGAUAAGACAUUCCUCUGCAAAUACACACACACACACACACACACAAAGGAGAUGAGUAAUUGAAGAAUCAGUUGGUUUGCAAGGCCCUAAAUGGAUGGACGAGGGAUAUGAGCUGUGCCGUGUGUGUGUGUGUGUGUGUGUGUGUGUGUGUGUGUGUGUGUGUGUGACAGUUUGCACUUCCUCUCUAAACCUUUGUGAUAGAUGAGGUUUGAGUGUGUUUUUCUGCUGCUCCACUGACUCACGAGAGCUUCACGCCCCAGUUACACACACGCAUACACCCCGUAAACUGCGUUUUAUUCUAGCAGUGAUCCUUAAACUGUUCUCCCCGUUGCAGGCAACCCCAGAAUUCUGUUUACUGAAUGACACAUCUGUAAAUGUUUCAGCAACAAAAUGGACUAAAUUCACUCUCACGGAGAAGUCCAAUUAUUAAAAAAAGGAAUGCUAGCUGACAGUCAUAGUAUUUGUGUUAGUAAUUGUGUUUGUUAUUUGCUAGAAAUGAUUUCAGGAUUGAAAAAGAAAAAAAGAAAAAACACACACACACAUUAAAAAAAAACACCACAUAGCUAACAGAACAUGAUUUUGGCUUACCUCAGGAAAAACCGUGAACUAGCAGCAGAAGUUGUUGGGUUCCUGAAUACAACUAAACUAUUUACUUUUGUUAGUUGCUAAUUGCUGUUUUCCACAAACAUCACUAGUGACAUAACCAACGCUAGUCGUAUUGUGUAUAGUUAGCCACUAGCAAGUUAGCUACCUCACCUAAGCUAGUUGUGAGGCUACAUUAGCUAGUUGUGAGGCUACAUAAGCUAGUUGUGAGGCUACAUUAGCUAGUUGUGAGGCUACAUUAGCGAGUUGUGCGGCUACAUAAGCUAGUUGUGAGGCUACAUUAGCUA